rnacentral:rRNA from 1 species
GCGUUUCGUUUCCGUGUGUGUUGUGUUCACGAAUCGGUGUUUCGAAUCCGUCUUAGUUUGUGUCACGUUACCUCCCUUGGUACUUCUUGCCGCGGUCCCGCUAGUUCCCCUUCCACCGCUACCGGAUGAGGUUCAUGCGGCCGUUCCGGGUCCGGUUCGGACGGGGAUCGCAGUGAUGUCGUGUGCGGAUGGUCGGGUCCAUGGGAAGAAGGUAGCUGCGGUGGCACUCGCGGGGGAUGCGGCGGCGGCCACUACAGCUGCUCUCCCAGUGCCGCAAGUAUGACAGGCAGGCUCUCGCGAAGUUCUUGUUCGUCUUCUACUACUCAAUCAACUCGAGGUAGUACCGGCCAGUCCAGUCAGGUCCGAGGCCCUCUCCAAAAUAUAAACUACCUUGUAGAAGACCCAUCGGUACCUAUGUAUGUACACAGAUUCACCAUAUGGUACAUGAAAAGGGAAAAGGGGGAGGAAAACGUUGAAGUGAAACAGGUAUUCUCACCCUUCUUACCCUAUUAUUGUAUUAGGGGUAAAGACUUUUAUACGAGCCUACAGUUAUACUAGGAAGUAGUUUCAACUCAAACACACAACAAGUAAAAACAACGGGCUGUCAAGUAGAGCUGACACAUUUCCUAGAAUUUUAAAGUCAAGUAAAAACCUACAGCUUUUGAGGAAAUGUUCACCGCAUUGUUUUAUCAUUUUUUUAGUAAAUGUUUGUAAGGUAGAACAAAAACGAACUUUGACAUUUUUAUUCGUUAGCAGACCAAGGGUAGGUUGAGGUGGCAAACCUCCUUCGUGGUAUGAAUUUGGUCUAAAAAUUAUAUUUUGAACCGAACAUAUAAAGUUACUACCCGAAGCAGUUUAACAGGAUCCAAAAGCACUCGUUCGUUCAACCUACGUGUGGGUGAAUCAAAGAAAACAACUCGAAAGUAUGUGAAUAUCGAGAACACGUAAGUAACGUACUGUUAGGGAUCAUUGAGUGUAACUAUAGAUAACUACACGUAGAGGUAUCGGGUAACUAUGCGGAUCAACUACACUCUGAUAGAAAGAGAAAAAAACGGAAGAGGUGUUAGUGGUAAGAUAAGGUGGAUAUCACAAUACAAGUACCGGGCGCGAGUAUAUAACGCACUUUCAACUUUUUCAAACUCUUAUGAUUUCAUACUUUGUUAACGAACCGAUCAGUAGCCCCAACACGUACUAACUUCGUAAAACACACUGUUUUUACUUCAUAUCGGUUUGAUAUACUAAAACAUCCCUACUCGAAAGAAACCGAUACAAUAAAACUCUUCUGUAUUAACGAACCAAUCGUACGAAAUUCAUAAUAAUAAAAAUACAGUUAUAAUUUGAAAACAGAACUUAAAAAGCCUAGACUUGUAAGUACGGUGUUAUUUCUUUUAAUGUAACUUUUUAUACAAUCCAUCGUAAGGUGUAGUUUUUAAGACAAAAAUAGUAAAUGGAUAAGCUCCUGCUCGUCCUUAAUUCGAACCCCUAUGAACUAUGCAGAGGUUACAUAAAUAUUAAAAAAUAACAAGGUACGAUAAUAUAAUAGACAAAAUCUACAAAUUACCCGAAAUUAUACGAGAAAAUAUAAUAAAAACCCUGCUUGGAUAAUUAACUUCCCGGUCACGGUCAAAGACAAAAAAAACGGAUAAAGUCACAAAACGUUUUUGCCUUAUGGCUUGCCUUACUUUGGAAGCGCUACUAGAAAAAACCUUGAUUUCGUUAGGUCUUCUGAACCUCAACUUCAAACCUUGAGGCGCUCCGCCGGUGCUCCGUCUUCCCGCGCGGGUCCCCCCAUCCGCGCGCGGGGGUGGGAGUACCCGGGGUGCUUCGAGUUGGCUGCAUGAAGAAAGCGGAUAUAUAUGAGAAUAUGGGAUUUUUGUAGUUCACCUCGGUGCUUUGGUGAAAAGGUGGCGGCGUUGGAAGACGUGGGCACUCUAGGGUAGAACCCCGGAAAAAGCCGCUAGACGGCCUCCCCCUUAGCUAGUGCCUCCCGAAGAUGUAGUUGUGGUAUCGGAGAGGCUACUACACACUCAUCAAAUGGUGUCUGGAAGCCCAGGUAUUAAUAAUCUAUCUACCGAAGAAGAGAGAGAAACCAAGAGUUAUGUUUCAAGAGAAACUACAAGAACCUCUAGAUAAGCUACAUUAUUAAAAACAACACACAAACGGCUCUAGGCUACUUAACACCUAAAUACUGGUUCAAAUAGAUACUCAUUAUAAACCAAGAAGAGGAUUAAGAAUAUACAUACCAAACUAUAGAAACGUUCAGAGAAGCUUAAUAGUCAAAUCAAACCGGAUGAUCUAACUAGAAAGAACGUAACCCUCUUUACGAAUCGAAACCCAAGUUAGAACGCCACAGGAAAGGGUCACUGUCAUCCCCGUCGUUCCGUGUAUAACAUAACAACGGUAACUCCUAUUUUUUACCCCAAAUAUAGUAUAACGAACUCAAUAGGGAGAUGUAGUACAGUAGAACGAAUUACGUAAUGAGACAAAAAUACCUGAAUUUUGAGAUAUACGUAUGACCUAUCGCCAGCUACACACCUCAUUAUCAUCAUCUACGUCUUAGCAAAGCCAGAUGAACUGUGUCUGCAGUACGGAUAUAAGUACUAGUAACGGAUUUAUAAGAGUAUUGAUACGCUAGAAGAUAGUUAACGAGCUGUCAUUAAACAAGUGGGUGGCAUUAUAUACGAUAGAACUCUCUUCGAUCAUUACUUUGGAUACGGGGAGUCCAAAUAAAAGGUAGUAUAUUAGAAGAUAAAAUGUAGUAUAUUCAAAGACUAGAUGUUAAGAUGAAAGGAUAAAUAAAAUAAAACGUUAGAAAUGAAAGGGUAGAUAUGUUGUUUUUAUAGUUUUUAUAAAUAGAAUGAUAGAAAUAAUCUAGAGUGAAAACGCUCACUGGCACUUCCCUAACUGUUGGGGAAAUAGCGCAACCAACGUUCUAAGAACUAACAAACACGUCCAUGAUCCACUGAACGCACAAUAAAGGAUGACCUAACUAUGGAACCAAGAAUUUUUGACUACCUUUAUGAAUGCGAUGAAACGACGUAGUCGGAAAGGAGAAGUUCCUUUUGGUUGUGUACGAGUUCUCCAUCGUCGCCCCACACGAGGUCAGUCGCCAUGACGAAGGACAUCGAGAGUGGUAGAAUUAGUGGAUAUGCAAGACCCGACGGUCGCCCCCUAGUCUGAAGUUUAAGGAAUAUGGAAAACGUAAGUGUUCGGACUCACAACGACAACAUAUAGAAAAGCUCGUC